rnacentral:tRNA from 1 species
GCCUGGUUGGCUCAGUCGGUGGAGCACGAGACUCUCGAUCUCCGGGUCAUGAGUUCGAGCCCCAUGUUGAGCA